rnacentral:rRNA from 2 species
ACGGGAGGCAGCAGUGGGGGAUAUUGCGCAAUGGGGGAAACCCUGACGCAGCGACGCCGCGUGAAGGAUGAAGGUUUUCGGAUCGUAAACUUCUGUCAUCAGGGACGAGAAUGGACGGUACCUGAGGAGGAAGCCACGGCUAACUACGUGCCAGCAGCCGCGGUAAUACGUAGGUGGCGAGCGUUGUCCGGAUUUACUGGGUGUAAAGGGCGUGUAGGCGGGCCGAUAAGUUGGGUGUGAAAUACCACGGCUUAACCGUGGGGCUGCACCCAAAACUGUUGGUCUUGAGUGUCGGAGAGGUAAGCGGAAUUCCUAGUGUAGCGGUGAAAUGCGUAGAUAUUAGGAGGAACACCAGUGGCGAAGGCGGCUUACUGGAAGGCAACUGACGCUGAGGCGCGAAAGCGUGGGGAGCAAACAGGAUUAGAUACCCUGGUA